CGGCAACAGCUCAAAUUUGAAAUCUGGCCCUUGUGGUCCGAGUUGUAAUUUGUAGAGGAUGCUUUUGGUGCGGUACCUUCCGAGUUCCCUGGAACGGGACGCCAUAGAGGGUGAGAGCCCCGUCUGGUUGGAUACCAAUCCUCUGUAAAGCUCCUUCGACGAGUCGAGUAGUUUGGGAAUGCUGCUCUAAAUGGGAGGUAUAUGUCUUCUAAAGCUAAAUAUUGGCCAGAGACCGAUAGCGCACAAGUAGAGUGAUCGAAAGAUGAAAAGCACUUUGAAAAGAGGGUUAAAUAGUACGUGAAAUUGUUGAAAGGGAAGCGCUUGUGACCAGACUUGGGCUUGGUUAAUCAUCCAGGGUUCUCCCUGGUGCACUUGGCCAGCCCAGGCCAGCAUCAGUUUGUCGCGGGGGAUAAAGACGUCGGGAAUGUGGCUCCCUCGGGAGUGUUAUAGCCCUUCGUGUAAUACCCUGCUUCGGACUGAGGUUCGCGCAUCUGCAAGGAUGCUGGCGUAAUGGUCAUCAGCGACCCGUCUUGAAACACGGACCAAGGAGUCGUCUUCGUAUGCGAGUGUUCGGGUGUCAAACCCCUACGCGUAAUGAAAGUGAACGCAGGUGAGAGCUUCGGCGCAUCAUCGACCGAUCCUGAUGUUCUCGGAUGGAUUUGAGUAAGAGCAUACGGGGCCGGACCCGAAAGAAGGUGAACUAUGCCUGUAUAGGGUGAAGCCAGAGGAAACUCUGGUGGAGGCUCGCAGCGGUUCUGACGUGCAAAUCGAUCGUCAAAUAUGGGCAUGGGGGCGAA
rnacentral:rRNA from 1 species